rnacentral:rRNA from 1 species
UACGUAGGGUGCGAGCGUUAAUCGGAAUUACUGGGCGUAAAGCGUGCGUAGGCGGUUGGCAAAGUCAGAUGUGAAAUCCCCCGGGCUCAACCUGGGAACUGCAUUUGUGACUGCAUGGCUAGAGUACGGCAGAGGGGGAUGGAAUUCCGCGUGUAGCAGUGAAAUGCGUAGAUAUGCGGAGGAACACCGAUGGCGAAGGCAAUCCCCCUGGGCCUGUACUGACGCUCAUGCACGAAAGCGUGGGGAGCAAACAGG